rnacentral:lncRNA from 13 species
AUUGUUUUCGCGCCUUAGUUGCUUUCGUCUGAAUGAAACUUUACCUAGAAGCUUUUGGAGCUCAUACAGUGAGUCUUUGUUCUGCAAGAAACUGCUGCUGCCACUUAAAGAGAUCGCAGAUAAUGUCCCAGAUUUGAAAUCAGUACUCAAACGCACAUUAACUUUCUUGCUUUCUUCCUUUUUAAAGCUCUGCCUCUGCCUCCGACUUGCGGAGGGAUCACGCAGCCGUCGGGGGCAGAUAAAAGCCCUUUGGACGAGGGUCACCUCAGUCCUUGUUGUUCACUUGAGAGCAGUGGAGAGGAAAACGGUCCUCACCGGCGGACUUUGGCUUCUGGAGCCGCAGGGCCGGUCUGUCCCGGCCUCUCCGCGCCUCCGCCGGAUAGGGGGCGGGGAGGAGCACCAGUGGGAAGGGAGGGAAGGAGCCAGAAGAGAGGAUUUGGGGAUGGGGGCUGGAAGCGCUAACGAGACCUGCCGGGAGGAUUUGCGUCUCCUGCAGCCCGCAGGCCGCCUGCCACUUUCCGCAGCCCCUUUUCCCGACCAGCGAGAGAAACCUAGCUCCCAGAGCCGGUGCAGUCAGUCCCCUCGCCCCUCCCGCCCCUGCGCGGGACCCUUUCCAGCCGUCGCUACAUCCACCACCUCGGUUCCACUCAAUCGAUUUUUGCUGCAUGUCAACACUUAUUACCGAUGGCACUCUCCGCCUCAACCUGGACCCUAACUCUGACUUGUUUUUUGAAACGGAAGUUUUGCUGAGAGCAUUCACUGAAAUCUCUGUACUUACGGAUAACUCAUAUUGGGAGAAGCCAACUGUCAUACCAUGUCAUGAAGAUACUCAUGCAGUCCUAUGGAGAAGUUCAUUAGUGAGAAACUGAGCUGGAAUAAACUUGACAGCCAUGUGAGUAAGCCA